rnacentral:misc_RNA from 1 species
UUGGAAGCCUUUCUCGAAUCAUGCCGCCGAAGUUCGACCCCAACCAGGAGAUCAUCGUGGUGGUGCGCGCCGUCGGUGGUGAGGUGGCUGCGACAGCCUCCCUGGCCCCCAAGGUCGGUCCUCUCGGUCUCAACGCCAAGAAGAUUGGUGAGGAUAUCGCCAAGUGCACCAAGGACUGGAAGGGUUUGAAGGUUACCUGCGAGCUGCGCGUCAAGAACCGUGUGGCAACGGUGGUGGUGACGCCGUCCGUGGCGUCUCGCCUCAUCCGCGCACUAAAGGAGCCGCCGCGCGACCGCAAGAAGGUCAAGAACAUCAAGCAUAGCGGCAACAUCCCGUUCGCGGAGAUCAUCAAGAUCGCCAAGGAGUCGCAGCCCAAGUCCAUGGGUAGCGAUCUCAAGGCCGUCGUGAUGGAGGUGCUUGGCACGGCCGUGUCCAUCGGCUGCACCGUCGAUGGCGAGAGCCCGCUCGACAUCCAGGCGAAGGUCCGGGAGGGCAAACUGAAGGUCCCCAACUAGGGAGCAGUCUGAUUUCGUUUCAUUUCCCUGUUGACGUAAGCGCGGCCCGUCAACCGUCUACCGCACCCUCUCCUCCCCCUGUCAUUACUGAGACACAGGUUGUGGAGUACGGGGUCAGAGUAGGGUGGUGGAUGGUGGCAGGCUGUGCACACCUCUCAGCCGGACUUUGUUUCUUGUUUCCCUUUAUGAACGU